CUAUUUUGGCAGAUUUAAUGUGUUAAAUUUAGGAUUUAUUUAUGUAGUAUUAUACAAAUAGAAA
rnacentral:tRNA from 1 species